AUUGAACGCUGGCGGCAGGCCUAACACAUGCAAGUCGAGCGCGCGGCGCACGGGUGUGUGAUGUCUGGGACACUGCCUGAUGGCGGGGGAUAACUCCUGGAAAAGGUAGCUAUUACCCCGUACCCUCACAUGUGCCCACAUGGGAUUAGCUAGUAGGUGUGGUAACGGCUCUCCUAGGCGCCGAUCCCUAGCUGGUCUGAGAGGAUGACCAGCCACACUGGAAAUGAGACACGGUCCAGACUCCUACGGGAGGCAGCAGUGGGGAAUAUUGCACAAUGGGCGCAAGCCUGAUGCAGCCAUGCCGCGUGUGUGAAGAAGGCCUUCGGGUUGUAAAGCACUUUCAGCGGGGAGGCGUUACCCGCAGAAGAAGCACCGGCUAACUCCGUGCCAGCAGCCGCGGUAAUUC
rnacentral:rRNA from 1 species